AUGAGCACUAUAGCCAGGGUCUUUUGCACCACUGAACUAGAUGCUCUAUUCCCUCUAAGUAGCUCUCAAGCUCUCCCCAGGACUGGGAGUGAUCACACUCCUAUUCUGUGGGACUCUGGCAUAAAUAGUACCCCCAAAAGCUCAAGCUAUAAAUUUGAGAAAUGGUGGUUACUUAGGGCUGAAUUUAAGGAGCUUGCAGAGAAAAACUGGUCUGCUCCUGUCAAAAGUACCAUUCCCAAUGACAUUUGGCAGGAGAAAGUGAGGAGGUUUAGAAAAUUUAGCAAGGGAUGGAGUAGAAAUGUAGAUGCUGAGAUUAGGAAAACUAAGCAGGAGUUGACAGAAGAAUAUGGCAGUCUAGAUAUCAAGUCAGAAACCUUGCAACUUUCUGAUGCAGAGAAUUUGAGGAUGAAAGAACUCCUAUGUAGACUCCAUAACAUUUGGCUUGUAGAGGAAAUUAAAGCCAGGCAAAAAUCCAGAGAUAGAGAUAUCCUUGAAGGGGAUAGAAACACUAAAUAUUUUCAGGCUGUAGCAAACCAAAGGAGGAGAAAAACCCUAAUAAAUAAGCUAGAAGGGCCUGAUGGCACUACUACUGAUGUUAAAAACAUGUUGGAUAUAGCUACAGAAUUCUAUAAGGACCUUUUUAAAAAAGAAGAUAGAAGAGGGUUUAGAAUUAAUAGUAAUUUCUUCACUGACGAGGAGAAAAUCACUGAACUAGAAAAUCAGACCCUCCAAAGACCUUUCUCUGAAGGAGAAAUAAAGGAGGCCAUCUUUGGAUCAUAUACAGAUGGAGCCCCUGGUCCAGAUGGUCUAUCUUUUCUUUUCCUCCAGAACUUCUGGGAAGUAAUAAAAAAUGAUGUGAUAGCCAUGUUUGAUGAUUUCCAUAAAGAAGAACUGGAUCUUUAUAGGCUUAACUUUGCAGUGCUAACUCUUAUCCCAAAGGAAAAAGCGGCUACCAGCAUGAAAAAGUUUAGGCCUAUUAGUUUAAUUAAUUGUAUCUUUAAAGUGUUCACCAAGGUGCUCACAAAUAGGUUGGCUGUGCUGAUGAAUAAACUUACUUCUAGUAACCAAUCAGCCUUUAUUAAAGGUAGAUUCAUCCUGGAAAGUGUAGUCACAGCACAUGAGGUGCUGCACUCCACUGCCAAAUCUGGCAACCCAGGACUAGUUCUGAAAUUAGACUAUGAAAAAGCUUUUGACAAAGUUAACCUAGAUUUCCUUAUUGAAAUUCUAGAAAAAAAGAAACUUCAACCCCCUUUGGGUGACUUGGAUCAAACAAAUCACACAUAUGGGGUCUGUUGGAGUGAAAAUCAAUGGUGUUGA
rnacentral:rRNA from 1 species